rnacentral:snRNA from 1 species
UUCUCUCUUUUCAAGCAGCUCUC